ACUGCUUAUAACCCUUUGAAUAUUGUGUCUUAGAAUGUGAAAGGCCAUUAGACAUUUUUGUUUCUCAUAGCCUUUCACAUUCUUUAGAGACGAUAUUUCUAGUACAUCGUGAAUAU
rnacentral:precursor_RNA from 15 species